AACGAACGCUGGCGGCAUGCCUAACACAUGCAAGUCGAACGCGCCCUUCGGGUCGAGUGACGCGGGGGUGUGUAACGCGGGGAAACCUGCCUUUAUGUUGGGAAUCACUCCGCGACAGGGGUUCUAAUAGCAUAUGCUGUCCUGGGGCCAAAGAUUUAUCGCCGUGGGAUGGGCCCGCGUUGGAUUAGCUAGUUGGUAGGGUAAAAGCCUACCAAGGCGACGAUCCAUAGCUGGUCUGAGAGGAUGAUCAGCCACAUUGGGACUGAGACACGGCCCAGACUCCUACGGGAGGCAGCAGUGGGGAAUAUUGGACAAUGGGCGAAAGCCUGAUCCAGCCAUGCCGCGUGAGUGAUGAAGGCCUUAGGGUUGUAAAGCUCUUUUACCCAUGAUGAUAAUGACAGUACCGGGAGAAUAAGCCCCGGCUAACUCCGUG
rnacentral:rRNA from 1 species